rnacentral:lncRNA from 1 species
UGAGAGGAGUUGGGAGCAGAAUGAGGAGCUUGGCUUGAAUGACAUGGACACUUCCUCUGCAGACAUUGCUUAUAAUACGACCAGCAUAGAAUAAGUUUUCAUCUUUUGUUAGCUGCUAUAAGAAGUAGACCACCUCGGCCGAAAUCUUCAUCAGCACAAUUGUCGAUUUAACUAAUGUGGCCGCCGAGUUUGUCGGUGAAACUGAUGAAUCCGCCGAUUUUGCCGGAGAAAGAAGUGCAGACUUGGUCGGAGAUAGAAGAUCAUCCAUCCAGUGCUCCAAUGCCUCCGACUUUGUCAGAGGUAUGUAUCCCACUCAUGUUCGAUUUUUGUUUUAGAAGUUCAUCUCUGAAUUAGAAGGGCCUGAAGUAUGAU